rnacentral:rRNA from 1 species
UACGAAGGGGGCUAGCGUUGCUCGGAAUCACUGGGCGUAAAGCGCACGUAGGUGGGUCGUUAAGUCGGGGGUGAAAUCCUGGAGCUCAACUCCAGAACUGCCUUCGAUACUGGCGAUCUUGGAGUCCGGGAGAGGUGAGUGGAACUGCGAGUGUAGAGGUGAAAUUCGUAGAUAUUCGCAAGAACACCAGUGGCGAAGGCGGCUCACUGGCCCGGUACUGACGCUGAGGUGCGAAAGCGUGGGGAGCAAACAGG